rnacentral:lncRNA from 1 species
UGACAGCAAUGCAUAUCUGGUUUCUCACCAUUAACUCAAAACAGUCAGAGGUGACAAGUCUGUAUGACAAAGCAAGAGAAAGAGACAGAGGUUGGAGUGCAGAAGAAAAGUACCAAGCUGAUGUCAAAUCACAAACUUCCAUCAGGAAAACAACAGCCAAGCAACAAUCAACAUUCUAACAAGCUUUAUUUGGUUAUAAAAUUCUUCAGGGAAAAUUCUAGAACUUCAGGAAUAUAACACCUUAAUGAGGCCUACUAGGUAGUGGUAUAUCAAAAUAUUGCUCUCCCUUCUUAUGCUUCUACUUAACUUUCUACACAUUUUGGCAAUGGUAGCUCAUGAAAGAAAACUGAGAGAUGGUUCAAGAGUUUCUUUAUGAGGCUGAGGUCCCUGGGCCCUGCAGAAGGACAGAUGUAAGAAAACUUGGCAAAGUUCACAGCUGCUCCAUGGCCACACAUUGAUGAAUGUAUCCCAUGUCCUUGGCUUCCUUACAUAAUGCAAACACAGCUGAAUUGAUCCACUUCAAAUCUUCAUAAACAAUUCAACUGAGGAUGAAAGCAGGAAUCCAGCAGCACAUCAAAAAGCUAAUCCACCACGAAC